CGUGCAAGUGAUGACAAAAUAGACAGGGACAUCAGAACUCCUUGGAGAAUGAUGACUUCGUCUUUGGGAAUCUCUCUGAUGCACU
rnacentral:snoRNA from 1 species